GGGGAAUAUUGCACAAUGGGGGGAACCCUGAUGCAGCGACGCCGCGUGAGUGAAGAAGUAUUUCGGUAUGUAAAGCUCUGUCAGCAGGGAAGAAGAAAGACGGUACCUGACCAAGAAGCCCCGGCUAACUAC
rnacentral:rRNA from 1 species